rnacentral:sRNA from 1 species
GAGGAGGGAGGAGUGGAGAGGACAGGGGCCUUGCUCUCCCCUCCCCAACUUGUUCCUCUUGCCCCCAGUCCCUGGCAAUCCAGAGUUCCCGAUAUCUAGGACUGUCCAUCCAUCCACUCCCUGACCUUUUCCCGUCUCCUGGCUGCAGCCAUGGAGUUGCAGAAGGGAAAAGGGGCAGCAGCAGCAGCAGCAGCUGCUUCGGGAGCAGCGGGAGGUGGAGGAGGAGGAGCGGGAGCAGGAGCCCCAGGAGGGGGGAGGCUGCUACUUUCAACCAGUUUGGAUGCCAAGGAUGAGUUAGAGGAGAGAUUGGAAAGGUGUAUGAGCAUUGUGACAUCGAUGACUGCUGGUGUCUCCGAGAGAGAAGCCAACGAUGCCCUCAAUGCCUAUGUGUGCAAAGGCCUCCCCCAGCAUGAAGAAAUCUGCCUGGGCCUGUUUACUCUCAUCCUCACUGAACCUGCCCAAGCCCAGAAGUGUUACCGGGACUUAGCUCUGGUGAGUCGUGAUGGCAUGAAUAUUGUCCUGAAUAAAAUCAACCAGAUACUUAUGGAGAAGUACCUGAAGCUGCAGGAUACCUGCCGUACUCAGGUAAGGCCAGAAAGAAAAGACAAGAUCCAGCUCAAAGAGAGAGGAUGGAUCUUCUCUCUGUCAGGAACGGGAAAGAGGAAUCAGGGCUAACACACCCCUAUCAUUGUGUGUCUAAAUUGUAAUGUGUUCCUUUCAGUUGUAAUUGAAUUAGCUCCCUUCUCAAACUCACAGUUCCUGCUCUUCAUCUGUUUUUCCCUCUUUCCUUUAGUUGGUGUGGUUGGUACGGGAACUGGUGAAGAGUGGGGUUCUGGGAGCCGAUGGUGUUUGUAUGACGUUUAUGAAGCAAAUUGCAGGUGAGUUUGAUGGCAGGAGCAUAAAGAAGAAAGGAGGAGAGCCCAGAGACUAAACAGAGACAAUGGAGAAUGAUUAAGUGCCAAAGGGACGGAAUUCCUGGAUUGCUUAGACUGUUUCCUUCUGAUACAGACAUCUUCUGGCCACAUAUGUUGUAGAAAUAAAUUAAUUGAAAAAUCAUGGGGGGCCUUUUAAAGCAGUAAGUCUUGCCUCAUUUUCUUUCCUGCUAAACCCAGGGCUUGACAGAAUAUUUGGCCUAUUUUAGCCAGUCUUCUCUCUGAGAUUUUAUAGUAUUUCAGAGCAGGAAGAAAUGGGGAGAGAAGUGAGGGCAAAUAAUUUGUUCCCAAGUCCCUGUGCUUUCAGAAACCUAGACAUCUUCCCUGGUUCCACCCCCAUUAUCUGAACGCUUGCUCCCUAAUAAUUAAGCCCUUUACUGGGGCCAGAAUGAGGGACAAACUAUGUCACAAAACAGACCCUGACAUUUAGGUUUUAUUCUCAUCUUGGCAUCGAUGACAUCUGUCUGAGCCAUCGCAUAUUCAAGCGGCUACUCCCAAGAUUGCAUGUGUUUGUUUAAAAGUGACCUGCUACUACCUCACCAUUAGCCCACUGGGGCUUGCUUCCUCUUUAAAAUUUUAUGUAACACUGAUGCUCCUGUUUUGAUGUGUAUGAACCUUAAUCUAUGUGAUAUGUGACUUUGUGAACAUUGAAUUUUUUAAUUGAGACCCGGGGCAAGGCAUAGCUGUGGCUAUCUUUAUCCUCUUUCCUGACACUUUCUUCCCUGUUUGGCACUCCCAGCCCCCGCUUCUUAUCCCAAGACUGGUCUGGCAUUACUGUGUGUUAAUUCUGCCCCACAAAGUUUCAUAGCAAGCACUGAAGACUGUUACCUGGAAAUAAGAAACUCUUGGCCUGUUGGGGGCCUCAGUGCAGGACUCAGGACAUCCAGUUGCUAGACUGCAGCCGUUGUCAGCCACCUGUACUUCUCAGGCUCUAUCUGAGAUAUCAUCCUUUCUUUCCAACUGUGGGCUUCUUAUAUCUACUUCUCAGACGUUCAUUUUCAAGGGCCAAAAUGUUCCCACUCCAACUCACAAUCUGUGGGAAAGUAGCAGCUCUGGUUUCUAGAAAAAUUCAGAACCUUCCCUUUCCUUCUUUCUAGAGGCAAAGGGUGAAACUUUAAAGCCUGACAGAACAGAAGGCAGUUUAUCUCAGCAGUGAAGGGAUGGCAGUGAUGGGAUGGCAGUCAGGGUGGACCAGCAGAAUGGGUGAAGAGAUGUAUUGGAUUGGCUGACUUGCUAAUCGGAGCUAUUCUUUUUUUCUCCUUUUGAAAUCAGGUGGAGAUGUUACAGCCAAAAAUAUCUGGUUGGCAGAAAGUGUUCUGGAUAUCCUGACAGAGCAAAGGGAGUGGGUCCUGAAGAGCAGCAUCCUCAUUGCCAUGGCUGUUUACACGUACCUCCGCCUCAUCGUGGACCACCAUGGGACUGCCCAGCUCCAGGCCCUGCGACAGAAGGAAGUAGACUUCUGCAUCUCACUGCUUCGGGAACGGUUCAUGGAAUGUCUGAUGAUUGGUCGGGAUCUCGUAAGACUACUUCAGAAUGUUGCUAGGAUACCAGAAUUUGAACUGCUUUGGAAAGAUAUUAUCCAUAAUCCUCAGGCCUUGAGUCCUCAGUUCACAGGCUGGAGUGCAAUGGCGUGACCUCAGCUCACUGCAACCUCCACCUCCUGGGUUCAAGCAAUUCUCCCGCCUCAGCCUCCCAGGUAGCUGGGAUUACAGGCACCCGCCAUCAUGCCCAGGUAUCCUACAGCUUCUUCAGUCAAGAACAUCCCGAAAAUUCCUAGCAUGUCGUCUAACCCCAGACAUGGAGACUAAACUCCUCUUCAUGACAUCCCGGGUGCGAUUUGGUCAACAAAAGCGAUACCAAGAUUGGUUCCAGCGCCAGUACCUGUCAACUCCAGAUAGUCAGUCUCUGCGCUGUGACCUCAUUCGCUACAUCUGUGGGGUAGUCCACCCUUCUAAUGAAGUACUGAGUUCAGAUAUCUUGCCCCGGUGGGCCAUCAUUGGUUGGCUCCUGACAACGUGCACGUCAAAUGUCGCUGCCUCCAAUGCCAAGCUGGCUUUGUUUUACGACUGGCUGUUCUUUAGUCCAGACAAGGAUAGCAUUAUGAACAUAGAACCAGCCAUCCUGGUCAUGCACCACUCCAUGAAGCCCCACCCAGCCAUCACUGCCACACUCCUGGAUUUCAUGUGCCGCAUCAUUCCCAACUUCUAUCCACCAUUGGAGGGCCAUGUGCGGCAGGGUGUCUUUUCCUCCCUCAACCACAUUGUGGAGAAACGGGUCUUGGCACACCUAGCUCCCCUGUUUGACAACCCUAAGUUGGAUAAGGAGCUGCGGGCAAUGCUGAGGGAGAAGUUUCCUGAGUUCUGCAGCUCACCCUCCCCACCUGUGGAAGUCAAAAUUGAGGAGCCAGUUUCCAUGGAGAUGGACAACCAUAUGUCGGAUAAGGAUGAGAGUUGCUAUGACAAUGCAGAGGCAGCCUUCAGUGACGAUGAAGAGGAUCUCAACAGCAAAGGAAAGAAGAGGGAGUUUCGCUUCCACCCUAUCAAGGAGACAGUUGUGGAGGAGCCAGUUGAUAUCACCCCUUACCUUGACCAGUUGGAUGAGUCCCUGAGGGACAAAGUACUCCAGCUACAGAAGGGGAGUGAUACGGAGGCCCAGUGUGAGGUCAUGCAGGAAAUUGUGGACCAGGUCCUGGAGGAAGACUUUGACUCGGAGCAGCUGUCUGUCCUUGCUUCCUGCCUACAGGAGCUCUUCAAGGCCCACUUUCGAGGGGAGGUCCUGCCCGAGGAGAUUACUGAGGAGUCCCUGGAGGAGUCUGUAGGAAAGCCUCUGUACCUAAUAUUUAGGAACCUAUGUCAGAUGCAGGAAGACAACAGCAGCUUCUCUCUGCUUCUAGACCUUCUCUCCGAGCUAUAUCAGAAGCAGCCCAAGAUUGGCUACCACCUGCUCUACUACCUGAGGGCCAGCAAAGCCGCCGCAGGGAAGAUGAACCUGUACGAGUCAUUUGCCCAGGCUACCCAGCUGGGCGAUCUGCAUACCUGCCUGAUGAUGGACAUGAAGGCCUGCCAGGAGGACGAUGUGCGGCUCCUGUGCCACCUCACACCCUCCAUCUACACAGAGUUUCCAGAUGAAACCUUGAGGAGCGGAGAGCUGCUGAACAUGAUCGUGGCUGUUAUUGACUCUGCACAGCUCCAGGAGCUGGUCUGCCACGUGAUGAUGGGUAACCUGGUUAUGUUUCGAAAAGACUCAGUUCUCAACAUACUCAUUCAGAGCCUAGACUGGGAGACCUUUGAGCAGUAUUGUGCCUGGCAGCUCUUUCUGGCCCACAAUAUUCCCCUGGAGACCAUAAUCCCCAUCCUGCAGCACCUCAAAUACAAGGAGCACCCAGAGGCCCUGUCCUGCCUACUGCUUCAACUCCGAAGAGAAAAGCCCAGCGAGGAGAUGGUGAAGAUGGUGCUGAGCCGGCCCUGCCAUCCUGAUGACCAGUUCACCACCAGCAUCCUGCGGCACUGGUGCAUGAAACAUGACGAGCUGCUGGCCGAGCACAUCAAGUCCCUGCUCAUCAAGAACAACAGCCUGCCUCGCAAGAGACAGAGCCUGAGGAGCUCUAGCAGCAAGCUGGCCCAGCUGACUCUGGAGCAGAUCCUGGAGCACUUGGACAACCUGCGGCUCAACCUGACCAACACCAAGCAGAACUUUUUUAGCCAGACCCCAAUUCUCCAGGCGCUGCAGCAUGUCCAGGCGAGCUGUGACGAAGCCCACAAGAUGAAAUUCAGUGAUCUCUUCUCCCUGGCGGAGGAAUAUGAGGACUCUUCCACCAAGCCACCCAAGAGCCGGCGAAAAGCAGCUCUGUCCAGCCCUCGAAGUCGAAAGAAUGCCACACAGCCUCCCAAUGCCGAAGAAGAGUCGGGCUCCAGCAGUGCUUCAGAAGAGGAAGACACGAAACCGAAGCCUACCAAGCGGAAACGAAAAGGGUCCUCUGCAGUGGGCUCUGACAGUGACUGAGGCCCUGCAUUCCCCAUCCCACCCCCAGCUGGACUGCCCUCUCCUUCUUGGUGAUUCAAAGGUUAAUAGAGGCUGAGGAGAUUGCAGGGGAAACACCCUUGCUGCAUCCCCAAGCUCCCCCGGUGGAAGGAGGAGCUUUCUCCUGUGGCUGAGUUUGAGAAGCUGCCAUGCAGCCCUAGCCCCUUCCCUCCUCCUGGGGCCUCCAGCCCCUCACACUGCUGUUCCCAGUGAUAUUUGGGAUCUGACUGAAGCCAGAGGCUCUGUAAAAUCAGACCAUAGUGGAAGUCCUCAGCCCCCUGGCCUCUUCCCCAGUCUCUUCCCCCAGUCUCCCAAAGAGCCAUUUCAACAGAGAAGGGAAAUGACAAAGGGGCAGCUGGCCAGAUAAGCUAGGAUGAGAGCAGAGACUCAGUGUGUGGGUGUCCCUUCCCGCUUCCCCUUCGGGUCUUGGUUUGUUCUGAAGGGGCGUUUUAUAAUCACUAUCCACAUGCCAGUGUGAAAUGGGCAUCUAUGACGUGGUCAGGGUGUCCAUUCCUAAUCAUGGGGCAGAUGCCACAAGUAUUCAGAAAGGAGUCUGAAAGGGUGGCCACAGCCCCACGUGGUGUGCCCUGGAGGCUUAGGUUGGCCUGAGGUUGGCACCUCAACCUACACCAGAGCCCAGGGAGUCCCAGAGGCAAGUUUCACAGAAUUGUCAUAUGAUCCCAUUUCCUUGAGUCUUUUUUUUUUUUUUUUUUUGGCAGAGAUAAUCGUGUCUUAAAAGUUGUUUUUAAAUGACAAUAAAACAAGCCACAAUGUC